GCGAAGUUCCCAGAGAGGGUAACCCUGAGUGCCUACGUCAGGAGCUCUGGCGCCUCCAGCUGGAAUCCCAGGGGUCCCAUCUUCGCGUCGACCAGAGGGAACCCCGACACUGGGAGGAAUUUCAAAAACGCUGGCUGGCUGCUGGUAGGAAUAGGAGAGUCAAAAACAAAAACAAAACGGAGAACACGUCCUGAGGGAAAACGUGAUGUUAGCGUGUCCGUAAGGAACUGCCCGCACGAGGGGGCCGAGGCUGAGAGCAGGAAGAGGGCUGUCUCCACCGCGGUGACGUGAGCGUCAGCAGGUGCAGGAGUGACCGGAGCCGGCGCCGGGAGUGAGAGCCACCAGUCAGCCACAGCGUGUGAUGGGCAGAGACGCACGCUUGGCCACGGGAAGAGCUUCCGCGCCCGUGGUGGACAGGCAGCCACGCGAGGACCCUGUUGGAGCGCCACCUGCAGGAAGUGUGGGAUUCCAGGAGUUAGUUCCUCCAGCGAGGGCUCAGAAUCAAGACCACUUUUUCUACCCAGUGCUGUCGUUGCCACCCCCUCGAUCUCUGCAACCACACAAGAUCUGCCAUAGCAUCACCCAAAGAUGUCCUCCCAGUUCCACACUUUCACUGGAAAACCAGUAGUUCUGAUCUACCCACAUUGGGCCCAUUCAACCCAUGAAUUGGAAAGCAAGGUGGAUGGAUGGAUGGAUGGAUGGAUGGAUGGAUGGAUGGAUGGAUGGAUGGACCGACGGACGGACGGGCAGGUGGGUAUGUGGGUGUGUGGGUAGAAGGACGGACAAACAGACAGAUGGACGGAUGGGAAACAUGACCUUAAAAAAAAGAGGAAUCAAGUGAGAUUAACUGGACAAAAGGUGCAGCCAGGCAGGAGAACUGUGGCAGCUCACACUGCUUUUUAUAAAAAGGCCGCAACUGAGAUCAAGCUGUGAUCCUUCUUGUUAGUUUUCUAAUAUAAAAAAAAAAAAUGUACAAGAUUUCAAUUUAAAGCCUCAUUUAAAACCAACAAUAUAGAUAAGUGUCAGAGAAUUCAGGAGUUAUGGUUUCCACAGCAACGUUCACGUGGCCAUCCAACUACUAUUAAAUAAAUGAAAUUAGGCAUUUAUAUUGCCCUUGACAUUCAGCCAUAUGCUAAGCAAUCACUCUAUUGGUUUAUAAUUCCUUGCAGCCACCUAUGAGGGAAGCAGCCCUCUUGCUCCCACAUUAAGGGUGAGGAAAUCAAGCCCCAGGAUGUGCCCAGAGAACCCCCUCCCCCUUGCUAGGCGUACCUAGCUGGCUAAUCUGACUCUCCAAGGAACAGCAGGCAGCAGGGCAAAAAAUGUCACUCACAGGUUGCACAGAGUGCACCAAGAAAAUGAAUCAUUGCUAAAUGCCUACUAUGCACUGGGUCCUGCUCGUGAGUUUUUUUGAAACCCCUGCCAAUGAGGACUGAUUCACGGGCACCUGAAGAAGCAAUCGUCAAAACCAGAGGCCUCUGUUUUGAUUGAAAGAGAACGGGCAAAGAUGGGACACAGAGAAAUACUACAUGGCCUCAGUUCAACUAGCCUCUCUAUGACUAACUCCACGACCUGCCCAGAACCACAAACACGUAGAAAGAGAAAGAAAAAAAUUCUUCCAGUGAGAAGGACACUUAGAAGAACGAGGAGCAGGAACCACUCAGGUCUCAGGGAAGAGAAGCCAGGUCCAGCACACACAGUUAUAGUUUCAUGUGUUUGAGAGAUGAACGGACCCACCAGGGAUGAUAGGUAUUUGUUUCAGUAAAAGCUUCUACUGCAGCAAAUCUUAGCAAAUCUCAUCUCUCAGAUGAACACAAGCUCGCAAAUCGACAGCACGAGCCGAGGCCCCAAGUUGUGGGCCUCGGGUCCCAAGGUGGAGAAGCCUGAGACUCGUGUUGGCUCUGGCCUUAACUGUCAUCUUGAAAAAUGAUCUUUAAGGGGGAAACAGCAACAAGUGAAACGCAGGGACAAGCUAAAUUGAGAGGCGUCGCCAACACUCCUGAAGAAAGGAAAAUAAUGUGUGAAAAUGCAGAGUCUCAGAAGUGCGAGAAAAUAAAAAACACAAAGGCAAGCCAAAAACAUCAAACUUCCUGCAUCGAGGAGAUGGAGUUGGAACUCCAGACUCUGCAUGGUAGACAUUGAGAAAGCAGUUUUCCCUAAAAGACAAGUGAAAGAUAAUAAGCUCCAAAUUAAUAUAAGCUUUUUGCUAGAGCAGAGCAGGCCCACUUCCUGCAGGAAUUUUUUCCCAGGUACCCCAGUUUACCCAUAGCGUUCUCUACCAUCUCUGACACUGCAUUCCUACUUUCUCGAUACCCCCAAUUACGGAGCGUUACGCAGAUAGCUGUGUCACGGUAUGGCUGCGCCUGAGCUGUCCGUGUUUCUGUUGUCAUUGGCCCUCUUUUCUCUGUGACUUGAUCACCCCUCCAGAGUUCUACAGCCACCGCGUGAGGCCAAGGUGCAAAAUGAUUUCAUCCAUUCGAUGGUUCAAAAUUAUGUGUGCAGUGCCCGUUAGACUGUGAGCCCCUUGAAGCCGGCAGCCACGUCCUUAAUCUUUAUGUCCCUAACACUCAGCACUGAGUAUGGCUCUUAUGACGUGUUUUUGUGGAAAUGAAUGUGUAUCAUUAUUCAGAUGCUUUGCUUUUCGUGUAAAAUAGCUCCCUUGAAACUUAAUCUCAAACACUGCAUUCUGUUCGGAACGUCUUCUAGCCCAAAAGACAAGUGUAGUGAAUGACACAGGUAAUUAAGGAACCCAGGAGAGACUGUCCAACAGUGAAGAUCGAAGGACUAGGGUAUGGACAAAGCCUAAAAGUAACGAUGCUAAAAGAAGAUUGUUUUCAGUAAGUCCAUGUCUAGGGGUGAGAGCAAAGAAGAAACACAUCUGUUCUAGGAGAUUAAAAUUAGGAGUGAUGAAUUUAGAGUUAAAAAAGUGUAGGCAAGCUUUCAAGGUAAAACUCAUGCCUGCAAAAUCUAGCAGAAUGAUAACCGUCUUCCUUACCUACCGGAUGCUAUCUGCCAUUUCAGUUACCCUCAGUCAACCAUGGUCCGAAACUAUUAAAUGGAAAAUUUCGGAAAUAAACAAUCCGUGUUUAAAUUGAGCACUGUUCUGCGUAGUGUGAUCUCAUCCUGCUCUGUCCCGCGUGAGACAUGAGCCAACUCUGUGUCCAGCAUCUGCAUUUUGCUUCGUCCAUCAGAUAGGUACCGUAUCAUCUCGGAUCAUCGAGAAGAGAGCUGGAAACUGGGAACCGUACUUCCUAGAAUACCAAUCAGAAGAAUUCCAGGUUAACUGUGCCAACGAGAGAUACUCAAGCAACAUCGAGAAGAUAGAGGAGACACAAGUCAUCCUACUGUCCCCUUCAGGAGCUGGCAGACAUGGUGAACGUGAGUUUUGUUAGGGCCUCGGUGCUGCAGGCGAAUGAGGCACUGGCAGUGGGUCUUGCAGGUUCUGAAACUUCCCGGUUUUCUGUAAGCUACUGAUGGGCUCGAGAGCCCGGGAUGGCUUUCUCUCACCUUUGACCUUUACCCUUCCACUGUGAUUUUACACAACCGCCCUUGUGAUUUUACGAGCCCUUAAUUCCUCGUGUUAAAUCUCUUCUUGCUUUAAAUAGCUAGAGUGGCUUCCGUUUUCCUAACUGAUUCAUUGCCUAAGAAGUGAGAUGUCUCAACACCCUAAUUCACUCACUAAUUAUUUAUUGAGGGCCGGAGACAAGCAAGGCACGGGAUGGCACUGUUCUGAGUGUUAGAAAUACAGCAGAAAAAGAAAAAGAUCCGCCCUCCUGAAACUCACUUUUGGUGGAGUUAAACGACAAUUCUGGAGGCUGGGAGCCAGAGCUCAGGGUGCCAGCAAGAUCAGGUCCUGGCGAGAUCUCUCUUCCACACUGCAGACGGCUGACUCUCCUGUGUCCUCGCACGGUGGGAGGGUCGAGGGAGCUCUCUGGCCUCUUCUUACGAGGGCGCUAAUCCUGUCCAUGAGGGCCCCACCCUCGUGACCUAAUCACCCCCAGAGGCCCCACUUCAUCACAUAAUACCAUCAUAUUGUUAGCCUUCAACAUGUGAAUGAAGGGGACACAAACAUUCAGUCCGUAAUAGUCCCCUUUCUGAUUUCUUUCUGUCGCUUUCUGGUUUGGGUGCCACUUGUCCCAACCUCCCUCCGCCAUGCCAGUGGGACCUCCGGACCACCCUCCCGGAAGCCCCCGAGAUGAACGCUGGAUUUAGACUGCACAUUUCACCAUGUGAGAGCUGAAACCUCUCAUUUGGAGCAGAAGCCAAGGCAAUUAAGCAAAUAGCUACAUAUCAUGUCAUUACAGAAUCUUACCCAUUUCCACCCUAUUGCCUCCUCUCCUGUCUUUCUUUUAGGUCAUCAUCCCUCCUGAUACCCAGUAAUUUCCAUCAUUUUCUAUGUGCAUUUCUGUUGGUCUUCUGAGAAUUCUCAUUUUCCAAAGUAGAAAGGCCACACGGCCUGUCACCAGCCCGGGAAGUACAGGGAGUGAUAUGCUGGGGAGAUCAGAGCGUGCCAGGGAUGGAGGCGGGAAGGUGUUACCCCUUUUUGUACUGACCCUCGGCAGGAGAGAAUAAGCAGAGGAGACAGACCCUGGGAGACAGAAGACAUUUCUAAUCACCUCCUUCCCAGGCUGCCGCUCCUCCGUGGACUGUGUUAUUCCUGCCCUCCCCAGACUACGAGUUUUCUCACUGAUCCAGAAAAGAGCUGAGUGAAUAAAGAGCACAAUAUCCUAGCA